GCCCGGCUAGCUCAAUCGGUAGAGCGUGAGACUCUUACUUCCCAAGUAAAAUCUCCAAUCUCAAGGUUGUGGGUUCGACCCCCACGUCGGGCU